rnacentral:rRNA from 1 species
GCUCAGUAACACGUAGUCAACUUACCCUAUGGACGAGGAUAAUCUCGGGAAACUGAGCAUAAUACUCGAUAGAUCAUAAUGCCUGGAAUGGUUUAUGGUUAAAAUGAUUCGUCGCCGUAGGAUGGGACUGCGGCCUAUCAGCUUGUUGGUGAGGUAAUGGCCCACCAAGGCGAUUACAGGUACGGGCUCUGAGAGGAGAAGCCCGGAGAUGGGGUACUGAGACAAGGACCCCAGGCCCUAUGGGGCGCAGCAGGCGAGAAACUUUGCAAUGUGCGAAAGCACGACAAGGUUAAUCCGANUGAUUUCUGCUUAANAAAUCCUUUUGCCA